AUACAGACCAAGACCAAGGUUUUUAUUGAUUCAUGGGAGACCAAAUGCAAAGUUGGGAAGUUCGCUGAUUAACGCCCUUUUUUAUAUUCAUCGCUUUGAGGCAUUUACUUAGUAACUUCACCAUACAUGC